rnacentral:rRNA from 1 species
UACGGAGGGUGCAAGCGUUGUCCGGAUUUAUUGGGUUUAAAGGGUCCGUAGGCGGAUCUGUAAGUCAGUGGUGAAAUCUCAUAGCUUAACUAUGAAACUGCCAUUGAUACUGCAGGUCUUGAGUAAAGUAGAAGUGGCUGGAAUAAGUAGUGUAGCGGUGAAAUGCAUAGAUAUUACUUAGAACACCAAUUGCGAAGGCAGGUUACCAUGUCUUAACUGACGCUGAUGGACGAAAGCGUGGGGAGCGAACAGG